CAGUCAUAUUGCAUUGAAACACUAGUUCCUGUAUGAUCACCAAAGUUAAGCAAUAUCGAGCCUGGUCAGUACCUAGAUGGGUGACCACUUGGGAAUACCAGGUGCUGUAAG
rnacentral:rRNA from 1 species